GACGAACGCUGGCGGCGUGCUUAACACAUGCAAGUCGAACGGUGAACCACCUUCGGGUGGGGAUCAGUGGCGAACGGGUGAGUAACACGUGGGCAACCUGCCCCUAGCUCUGGGAUAACCCCGGGAAACCGGGCUAAUACCGGAUAUGACUCCGAGCGGCAUUGCUUGGAGUGGAAAGUUUUUCGGCUAGGGAUGGGCCCGCGGCCUAUCAGCUUGUUGGUGGGGUAACGGCCUACCAAGGCGACGACGGGUAGCCGGCCUGAGAGGGCGACCGGCCACACUGGGACUGAGACACGGCCCAGACUCCUACGGGAGGCAGCAGUGGGGAAUAUUGCGCAAUGGG
rnacentral:rRNA from 1 species